CAGUGGCCGAGUGGAUAACGCGAUGGCAUUUGAAGCGAAAGGUACUGGGUUCGAGCCCCAGAGUGAA
rnacentral:tRNA from 11 species